rnacentral:rRNA from 1 species
CCUACGGGAGGCAGCAGUGGGGAAUAUUGCACAAUGGGGGAAACCCUGAUGCAGCGACGCCGCGUGAGUGAAGAAGUAUUUCGGUAUGUAAAGCUCUAUCAGCAGGGAAGAUAAUGACGGUACCUGAGUAAGAAGCCCCGGCUACCUACGUGCCAGCAGCCGCGGGAAUACGUAGGGGGCAAGCGUUUACCGGAUUUACUGGGGGCAAAGGGAGCGUAGACGGCAUGGCAAGUCUGAAGUGAAAGCCCGGGGCUCAACCGCGGGACUGCUUUUGAAACUGUUAAGCUUGAGUGCAGGAGAGGUAAGUAGAAUUCCUAGUGUAGCGGUGAAAUGCGUAGAUAUUAGGAGGAACACCAGUGGCGAAGGCGGCUUACUGGACUGUAACUGACGUUGAGGCUCGAAAGCGUGGGGAGCAAACAGGAUUAGAUACCCCUGUAGUC